rnacentral:hammerhead_ribozyme from 1 species
AUCCAACUGACGAGUCCCAAAUAGAUCGAAACACACGUCUUAGAU